CUAGUAAUCGCGCAUCAGCCAUGGCGCGGUGAAUACGUUCCCGGGCCUUGUACACACCGCCCGUCAAGCCAUGGGAGCCGGGGCGCCUGAAGUCCGGGACCGCGAGGACCGGCCUAAGGCGAAACUGGUGACUGGGGCUAAGUCGUAACAAGGUAUC
rnacentral:rRNA from 1 species